CCUACGGGUGACAGCAGUGAGGAAUAUUGGUCAAUGGCCGGGAGGCUGAACCAGCCAAGUCGCGUGAGGGAAGACGGCCCUACGGGUUGUAAACCUCUUUUGUCAGGGAGCAAGGUGCAGGUCGGGACCUGCUGUGAGAGUACCUGAAGAAAAAGCAUCGGCUAACUCCGUGCCAGCAGCCGCGGUAAUACGGAGGAUGCGAGCGUUAUCCGGAUUUAUUGGGUUUAAAGGGUGCGCAGGCGGCGUGUCAAGCAAGCGGUAAAAGAGCGGGGCUCAACCCCGUCGAGCCGUUUGAACUGGCGGGCUUGAGUUCAAGCGAGGUAGGCGGAAUUCGUGGUGUAGCGGUGAAAUGCAUAGAUAUCACGCAGAACUCCGAUUGCGAAGGCAGCUUACCAGUUCGCGACUGACGCUCAGGCACGAAAGUGUGGGUAUCGAACAGGAUUAGAUACCCUUGUAGUC
rnacentral:rRNA from 1 species